CCUACGGGUGGCAGCAGUGGGGAAUAUUGGACAAUGGGGGGAACCCUGAUCCAGCCAUGCCGCGUGUGUGAAGAAGGCCCUCGGGCUGUAAAGCACUUUCAGUGAGGAAGAACGCCUGGUGGUUAAUACCCAUCAGGAAAGACAUCACUCACAGAAGAAGCACCGGCUAACUCCGUGCCAGCAGCCGCGGUAAUACGGAGGGUGCGAGCGUUAAUCGGAAUUACUGGGCGUAAAGCGCGCGUAGGUGGCUUGAUAAGCCGGUUGUGAAAGCCCCGGGCUCAACCUGGGAACGGCAUCCGGAACUGUCAAGCUAGAGUGCAGGAGAGGAAGGUAGAAUUCCCGGUGUAGCGGUGAAAUGCGUAGAGAUCGGGAGGAAUACCAGUGGCGAAGGCGGCCUUCUGGACUGACACUGACACUGAGGUGCGAAAGCGUGGGUAGCAAACAGGAUUAGAUACCCUAGUAGUC
rnacentral:rRNA from 1 species